rnacentral:tRNA from 1 species
GAGGGUAUAGCUCAAGUGGUAGAGCACAUGCUUAGCAUACAUGAGGUCCUGGGUUCAAUCCCCAGUACCUCCU